GACUCUCGGCAACGGAUAUCUCGGCUCACGCAUCGAUGAAGAACGUAGCAAAAUGCGAUACUUGGUGUGAAUUGCAGAAUCCGUGAACCAUCGAGUUUUUGAACGCAAGUUGCGCCCGAAGCCAUUCGGUUGAGGGCACGUCUGCCUGGGCGUCA
rnacentral:rRNA from 11 species